CCCACCAACCCAACGUUCUCAAUUAUAUAAACACCCUAUUUCACAGCAAUUUCAUAUCCCCUUCCUUUCCCCCACCCCCCUAAAAUCUUCCCCUCCAUUCCACUACAUCCCACCGCUGGCGAGAUAAGCCCACAAUCUUCCGUAAAUUGAGAGAUAAUUCACGUGCACUGGCGGACGGAGUUAAGGACAAGGGGGACGACAGUACCCCCAAAAUGUUGAAUGGCCUAGUGAUAAAAUACUCCUAAGUCCUAUAUUCGAUUCUCCCAGGCUUCAAUAUUUGUUUGCAUUGAUUAACCCGAUUUAAAUAUAUACCGCACCUCCAAUCUCAAGUAUCUGGAUCCGUGUUCACGUGGAGUCAUAUUUUUUAUAGACAAAACGAAGUAUUAUAGGAAAACAAAGCAAAAUUCUAUAUACAAUAUAAAUACAACGUUUCAAGACCAAAUUUGCACCUGUUUAGAUAUAUAGAUAUGCGCUUAUCAAUAUUUAGUACAUCUAAAUCGGUAUAUAAUGAGUUUGGUAAUUAAAUAAAUCGUUUUAUUAUUAAAAUAUUUAUAUUUGGUCUAUGCGGUAUUUAAUGGAUUUGCAAAAAGGGGGAAAAUAUAUCAGUAUAGUUUUAUAUUAAUAUAGUGCUUCCUCCGACAAAAAUCAACACAUUUUGUUAUCUUUUAUUUUACUCUAUAUUACUUUAUACUCCCUUUAUUUAUCUAUCUUUUUUAUUUCUUACUUUAUUUUCAUUUACUUAAUUCACUUAAUACAAUUUUUCUUAAAUCGUGUGCCAAAAAUAAACGAUUCAAUUGCCAUGGAACGGAGGGAGUAUAUAUUUGUUAUAAAUCUAACUCUGUUAUUUUCAAAAAAUCAAAAUACUACAAUGUGAGAAAAAAAUCUAUAUCUAUACCUCAAUACUACUACCUUCGUGUCUUAAAGAUAGAAACUUUCUAAAAUUUCUAUUUUAGUACUUGGACCUUAUAAUCUACUAGCGGUACUUCUAUUACAUUUUCUCUUUAUCUCUCUUACUUAUUUUUUUCUUUCCAUCUCUCUUGUUUUAUCAAAGCUUCUCUUUUACUUUACUAAUUGAACAUUAAAACCCGUGUUGUUUCAAAAUUUUCUAUUUUUAAGGACGAAGGUAGUAAUAUAAAAUAGUAAUGCAGAAUUCUUAGAAAUAUAAUAAGGAUUUAUUCCUCCAAAUCCCCCCCCCCCCCCCACACACACACUUACUUGCUUCCAAAUUCAUAUUUCUUACUAUUCUAGUAGUACUAAUUAUUUUAGUGUAUUAUUCGAAAUUGAUUUCAGAAACUGUAACUAGGUAUGAUUAAGUACUUGACGAUUUAAUAUGUUAGUACUAAUAUUUUAGUUGUGCGGACGAGCAGAUGCUUAGGGCACAUCUCCAAGGAGAGAACGAACCGACGCUUAGAGCAUCUCUAAGAAGAGAAAGUAUAUAAUCUCCAAGGAGAGAACGAACAGACGCCUAGAGCAUCUCCAAGUAGAGAAAGUAUAUAAAAAAGGUUAGAAGAUUUGAGAUUCAAAUCCACUGGGUGAAGUGAUGAGAGGAGCAAACCUUCGUCUACAAAUUAAAUCUGCAAUGAAAAGAUUUUACACGGCGGCGCCGCCUCUCCACUCCGACCGCCUGAGUUCUAAACUUGGGAGUUGCAAUGAAAUUGAUUUUGGUAAAAUUGGCGGUGAUUUCGCUUCUACUGAUUCUCUCACAAUGCAUGAGGCAUCCAAAUGGUAUUUAUAUCUCCGAUCAGAGGAAACCCUUCUUUCCUCAAUCAAAUCCGACUGCACCACCGCCGCCGCCGCCGCCGAUGGAGACAGUAUUUGAACCGGAAUCGGAUCCACCACCUAUGCCACCUCCGCCCUCUUGCUGGCCUUUAUGUUGAUGUACACGAGUCGGCCGAGCCGGUGUUGAGGAAGAGCCGAGCUACCCGGUGUUUGGCCCGGGUGAACCUGCUACAGCAUCUCGAGAGACGACUGCGAAGGAGGCAAGGCAGCCGAUUGGUUUGGGGAAUAUGUCUCCAAAUAGGCGUCCAGUUCUUCGGAGCAGAUCACCUACUCCAAAACACCAAUUCAUUUCCUACUCCACACUCACAACAAAAUAAAAUAAAUAGGCGUCCAGUUCUUUGGAGCGGAUCUCCCUUCUUCCCAGUUCUUUGCAUUAGUUUUUGCUAUUUUAAUUUAUUUUAUUUUAUUAAUUGGGUCGAGUAUAUCUAUAAGUUCCUUUUCGGGUUUUCUUUGUUGAAUUCUUUCCCGGAUUGUAAGUCGAAUCAACCCUAGGGUCCGUAGAUAUAAAAAGGGAAUAUUGUGAAACUUCUCCAUUCAAUAAAAAAACACAAAUAUUUUCCCAA